UACAGAGGUCUCAAGCGUUGUUCGGAUUCAUUGGGCGUAAAGGGUGCGUAGGCGGCGCGGUAAGUCGGGUGUGAAAUCUCGGGGCUUAACUCCGAAACUGCAUUCGAUACUGCCGUGCUUGAGGACUGGAGAGGAGACUGGAAUUUACGGUGUAGCAGUGAAAUGCGUAGAGAUCGUAAGGAAGACCAGUGGCGAAGGCGGGGUCUCUGGACAGUUCCUGACACUGAGGCACGAAGGCCCAGGGGGAGCAAAACGGG
rnacentral:rRNA from 1 species